UGAGCUUCAACCUUAGGUCUUCUUUUUCAUCAUCUCUCUUAUGUAAAAACUCAGAUCGAUGUAUUCCAACAUCCCCCCUCAAGUUGGAGUGGGUAGAAGACACCCCCAACUUGCCAAGAAUCGAUUUGUGAGCAGGCCCUGGUAAGGGUUUGGUGAAUAAAUCAGCAAGUUGCAAUUUUGAGGGGAUAAAAGAAAGAGAAAUGAGACCAGAGAGAAAUUGCUGCCGCACAAAGUGGCAAUCAAGUUCUACGUGUUUAGUCCUUUCGUAAAAAAAGGAUUCCGGGCGAUAUGGAUGGCAGCUUGACUAUCAGAGAAAAUAGGAACCGGAAUCGGAGGAGGAACUAAGAGAUCUGUGAGCAAACGAGUCAACCAUGUGAGUUCUGCAACUAAGCGACGCAUGGAGCGAUAUUCCGCUUCUGCUGAAGAAAGAGAGACAGAAGCUUGUUUCUUGGAUUUCCAUGACACCGGAGAGCCACCCAAACUGAUAAAGAACCCACUAACGGAACGGCGACUGUCCCGGCAAGAAGCCUAAUCUGCGUCGCAGAAAGCCAAGAGAUCAAAAGAGGGUUGAGCAUUGAGAAACAGUCCUUGACCCGGGCUGGAUCGAAUAUAACGAAGAACACGCAAGGCAGUAGUGAAAUGACCAAUGCAAGGGCGUUGCAUGAACUGGCUGAGAGUGAGAACAGCAAAGGAGAGAUUUGGGCGCGUGUGAGUCAAAUAAUUGAGCUUGCCCACCAAGCGAUAAUAAAGAUAAGCAUCAGUCAAUGGAGGACCAGAAUCAACAACUAAUUUGGAAGAUGGAUCCAGAGGUGAAGAAACUGAUGGGAGUUUGAAGUAGUCAAACUCGUGGAGCAAAUUAAUGGUAAAUUUCCUUUGAGUAACAAUCUGGCCCUUUUGUUCUCGUAAAAUUUUCAUUCCUAAAAAAUAAUGAAGUGGCCCAAGAUCCUUCAUUUUAAACUCAGAAUGCAAAAAUGCUUUGAGGUGUGUCAAUUCAUCAAUGUUAUCCCUUGUAAGUAAUAUAUCAUCGACAUAUACUACAAUAAUAGAAAUGAGAUGUCCUGUUCUCUUAAAGAACAGAGAAUAAUCAUUGAGGGAAGCAGAAAAACCCUUGAAACUUAGUGCUCCGGCAAGCCUGGUGUACCAUUUUCUUGAGGCUUGCUUCAAUCCAUAAAGAGACUUGUUAAGUCGGCAAACAUGGUUGGGGCUAGGGGAGGGUAAUCCAGCAGGAAACCUCAUAUAAACCUCUUCUUGCAGCUCCCAAUGUAAGAAGGCAUUGCUUACAUCAAAUUGAGAUAUAGACCAAUCUUUCUUGACAGCAAUAGUGAGAAAACAUGUGAUUGUUGUCAUCUUGACAACUGGAGAGAAGGUUUCUGUGUAGUCAAUGCCUGCUCUUUGAACAUCACCUCUUAUAAUCAAUCGUGAUUUGAGUCUUUCAAUAGUGCCAUCAACAUGUUGUUUGACAUUGUAAACCCAUUUACAGGGUAAUGCCUUCUUUCCAGGCGGCAGUAGAACCACAUCCCAGGUAAUAUUCUCUUCUAAAGCCGUAAGUUCAGAGUUCAUAGCCUGCACCCAACCUGGGUUAGAACAAGAUUAAGAGUAGGAUGUGGGUUCUAUAAUAGAGGAGACUGAUUGAAAGAGAUGUUGAUUAGAACUAGAGAGAAAAGAGAAAGAAAAUGGAGAUGGGAACAAGGAGAGGUGAGACAAGAAGUGGUGACAUCAGUGAGAAAGAUAUUGUUGCAAACAUAAUCCUUAAGAUAACUAGGUAGAGUGACUAUAUUAUCUCUACUGGAUCUCCUAAGGGGAACAAGAGGGGAAAGAGGGAUAUGUGAGGUAGAAGGAAUAGGAGAGGGAGUAGAUUGAUGAGAGGUAGAACUAGGUGAGUGAUGAGAUGUAGGGGAGACUUGUGGUACAGUUGAGUUUUGUUGUGUGGGAGCAUCAGAGGUGAAGGGAGGUAUAGGGAAUGUAGGACCAUGAUGUAUAGAAGAGAGGUUAUCUGGAGCUAUAUGGGCAAAAGGAAAGGUGUGUUCAAUAAAAUGAACAUCCCUAGAUAAAAAAAGAUUCCUUGUUGUGAGGUUCAAUAUCUUAUAUCCUUUCUGACCAUUGGGAUAGCCCAUGAACAUACAUGCUGUGGCCCUAGGGUCAAACUUCCCUCUGUUGUGUGACAAGGUAGAGGCAUAACAAAGAUAACCAAAACUUCUUAAGAAAGAAUAGGAAGGUCGCUUACCAAACAGCAAAUGAUAGGGAGUUUGACCAUUAAGCACUCUAGAUGGAAAUCUGUUGAUGAGAAAUGUGGCUGUUAGAAUGCAUUCUCCCCAGUAACAUAGAGGCACAUUGGAUUGAAAGAGGAGUGCUCUAGAAAUUUCUAACAAAUGUCUAUGUUUCCUUUCCACAAUUCCAUUUUGCUGAGGAGUUCCUACACAUGAAGUCUGAUGCAAAAUACCUUGUGAUAGUAGGAACAAGAAAGCUGCAGUGCUGCUCCCUAACUCUAAAGCAUUAUGACCUGAUGACCUUGACUUUAGUAUUAAAUUGUCUUUCCACCAUGCUCAAAAAAUAUUUUUAGAACUGAAAAUGCACUACUCUUGGUGCUCAGUAGAUAAGUCCAAGUUGCUUAACUGAAAUCAUCCACAAUAGUGAGAAAAUAUUUGUAUCCAUCAUAAGUAGAAGUCCUAUAAGGACCCCAUGUGUCAAUGUGUAUUAAUUCAAAAGGUUGAUUAGUUUUGAUAUGAUUGAGUGAAAAUGGUAAUCUAGACUGCCUUGCUAAGGGGCAUACAUCACAAUGACAUAUAGAAUCAGGAACAAAUGAAAUGGAACUGAUAUAUUUCAUUGCAUUGAAAGGAAAAUGCCCCAAUCUUACAUGCCAGAGUUUUACAUCAGAUUCUGUUUUUGCUAAGAUAGGAAAAGAAAAAGAAGCUGAAAUUGAAUUAGAAAAAGAUGCAGGCAAUAAAGAAGUAACAGUGUUGGAAGAUAGAAUUCUAGGUUCUGUGACACUAGGCUCCAAUAAGUAAAGUCCCUCCUUAGCUUCACCAAAAACUUGAGGGCUCUUCAUGAGAGAGCUCUGCAAAAUACGUCCAAAAGAAGUGAAAACUAAGAGACAUUUGAAUCUUUGACAAAGCGUACAAACUGAAAGUAAGUUAUACUUGAAGCUAGAAAUGUGAAGAACAUUUUCCAAAACUAAACCUGGAAAAAUAGAAAUACUCCCAGCAUGUGUGACAUUUACUCUAGAAGAAUUAAGUAAUUUUACCAUUAGAGGAAAAGGUAAUGGUACUAAGAAUAAGAAUGUAUUGGCAUUAAAACACAUAUGCUCAGUUGCCCCUCAAUCUAUAAUCCAUGAGUUGGAAAGGUUAGAAUUAGAAACUGAAUAACAGGAUGGAGAAUUAGUAAACAAUAUACUAGAAGCAGAAUUUGCAUUAACUUCUUGAGCACCCUGUCCUGUUUGUAGUUGAUUCAGGAGAUUAACCAAUUGACUGAAUUGAUCAGAUGAUAGCUUCUGAGAAAAUUGAGGUCCUUCUGCCAUGUUGAUAUGAAUUUCCCCUAUAUCAUCCACUACGGUAGCUGAAUUCCCUUUUGGAGAAUUUUGAACCCUUUUGUUUUUAGUAAAUUUGAAAUCAGCAGGGAACCCCACAAGUCUGUAACAGUUAUCAAUUGUGUGAUUAGUCAUCUUACAAUAGGAGCACUUCUGUGUGUUUUUCUUUCCUUUGUGUGCAAGAUUUCCUUUAUAGGAAGUGUUUCCAUUCUUCUGCUGGGGAAUGAAAUGAGAUCCUGCAGGGUUCUGGUAAGUCUGAGGUCCUUGGUUUUUCACCAUGAAAGAAGCAUCAUCUGUUGGAAAUUGAGAACUGGCAUGGAUUUCCCUUUGAUUCUCAUCUUGCAUGAGAAGUGAGUAUGCUUGAUUGACUGAAGGGAGUGGUUUAACCAUGAGUAUGUUGCUUCUAGCCAAUCCAUAGGUCUCAUUCAAUCCCAUGAGGAAUUGAAUGAGCCUCUCAUCUUCCUUAAAUUGUUGUAUUUUCUUCUUGCCACCACAAUCACAGUUGCAUGAGCACUGCAUAUCAGAGUUGAGAGUGUCUAAUUCAUCAUAUAGUCGCUUCAUUCUAGUGAAAUAAGUACCAAUAUCAGCUGACCCUUGUACUAAAUCAGCAAGUUCUUUUUGCAGGUGGUAUAGCUUGGCUCCAUUAGGUUGCCCAAAUCUGUGCUCCAAAUCUAACCAAAGAUCCUUAGUAGUCUUUGAGUAUAGAACACUGUCAGCAAUGACUUUGGUAAGGGAAUUCAACAACCAAGAGGUCACCAUGUGGUUGCAUCUGCUCUAGGUUGGAUGAGUAGGGUCUGUAGAAGAUGGCAUAGGGCAUGAACCAUCAAUGAAGCCCAAUUUGUUCUUGGCUAAAAGUGAGAUCAAAAUGUAUCUGCUCCAUCCAGCAUAGCCACGACCAUCAAAUUGUGUGUUUGCUAGUAUCAUACCUAGUGCAUCAGAAGCAUGAAUGAAGUAAGGGUGAGUGGAAUCAAUGGUGUUUUCAUUGCCUAAUGUUGCUGAAGAAGAGAUGUGUGUAAGUGGAGUUUCAGUCACGUCUGAGGCAGGAGACAUGAUUGAACCAGAGAAUCAGAAAAUCUGAAAGAAAAGGAAGAGGAAGAGGACGAAGAAGAAGAGCUAAUGCUCUGAUACCAUAAAGAAAAUUGAGAGAAGAAUUUGAGAAAUUUUCUGUAUUUUUUUGAAUGAAUAAUCUGUACAAAAGACAAUGUAUUUAUACACAUGUAUUCCUAGAAAAGAAAACAAGAAAUAAAAG
rnacentral:lncRNA from 1 species